CGGCGAGUGAAGCGGCAACAGCUCAAAUUUGAAAUCUGGCUCCUUCGGGGUCCGAGUUGUAAUUUGUAGAGGGUGCUUUGGCGUCGGCCAUGGUCUAAGUUCCUUGGAACAGGACGUCACAGAGGGUGAGAAUCCCGUACGUGGCCGCUGGCCUUCGCCAUGUAAAGCCCCUUCGACGAGUCGAGUUGUUUGGGAAUGCAGCUCUAAAUGGGAGGUAAAUUUCUUCUAAAGCUAAAUAUUGGCCAGAGACCGAUAGCGCACAAGUAGAGUGAUCGAAAGAUGAAAAGCACUUUGGAAAGAGAGUCAAAAAGCACGUGAAAUUGUUGAAAGGGAAGCGCUUGCAGCCAGACUUGCCCGUAGUUGCUCAUCCAGGUUUCGGCCUGGUGCACUCUUCUGCGGGCAGGCCAGCAUCAGUCCAGGCGGUCGGAUAAAGGUCCCGGGAAUGUGGCUCUCUUCGGGGAGUGUUAUAGCCCGGGGCGCAAUGCGGCCAGCUUGGACUGAGGUCCGCGCAUCUGCUAGGAUGCUGGCGUAAUGGCUGUAAGCGGCCCGUCUUGAAACACGGACCAAGGAGUCUAACAUCUAUGCGAGUGUUUGGGUGUCAAGCCCGAGCGCGCAAUGAAAGUGAACGGAGGUGGGAACCCGCAAGGGCGCACCAUCGACCGAUCCUGAUGUCUUCGGAUGGAUUUGAGUAAGAGCAUAGCUGUUGGGACCCGAAAGAUGGUGAACUAUGCCUGAAUAGGGUGAAGCCAGAGGAAACUCUGGUGGAGGCUCGCAGCGGUUCUGACGUGCAAAUCGAUCGUCAAAUUUGGGCAUAGGGGCGAAAGACUAAUCGAACUAUCUAGUAGCUGGUUCCUGCCGAAGUUUCCCUCAGGAUAGCAGUAACGUUUUCAGUUUUAUGAGGUAAAGCGAAUGAUUAGAGGCCUGGGGGUUGAAACAACCUUCACCUAUUCUCAAACUUUAAAUAUGUAAGAAGUCCUUGUUACUUAAUUGAACGUGGACAUUUGAAUGUACCGUUACUAGUGGGCCAUUUUUGGUAAGCAGAACUGGCGAUGCGGGAUGAACCGAACGCGGGGUUAAGGUGCCAGAAUGCACGCUCAUCAGACACCACAAAAGGUGUUAGUUCAUCUAGACAGCAGGACGGUGGCCAUGGAAGUCGGAAUCCGCUAAGGAGUGUGUAACAACUCACCUGCCGAAUGAACUAGCCCUGAAAAUGGAUGGCGCUCAAGCGUGCUACCCAUACCCCGCCGCCAGGGCACAUAUUAUGCCCUGGCGAGUAGGCAGGCGUGGAGGCUUGUGACGA
rnacentral:rRNA from 1 species